UAAUACGAAGGGGGCUAGCGUUGUUCGGAAUUACUGGGCGUAAAGGGCGCGUAGGCGGCUCUGUAAGUCAGGAGUGAAAUCCCUAGGCUCAACCUAGGAAUUGCUUUUGAGACUAUGGAGCUUGAGUACAGGAGAGGUGAGUGGAAUUCCCGGUGUAGAGGUAAAAUUCGUAGAUAUCGGGAGGAACACCAGUGGCGAAGGCGGCUCACUGGCCUGUAACUGACGCUGAGGCGCGAAAGCGUGGGGAGCAAACAGGAUUAGAUACCCUGGUAGUCCACGCUGUAAACGAUGAAUGCUAGUUGUUGGAGGGUUUACCCUUCAGUGACGCCGCUAACGCAUUAAGCAUUCCGCCUGGGGAGUACGGCCGCAAGGUUG
rnacentral:rRNA from 1 species